AGGGUGACAGCCCCGUACACAAAAAUGCACAUGCUGUGAGCUCGAUGAGUAGGGCGGGACACGUGGUAUCCUGUCUGAAUAUGGGGGGACCAUCCUCCAAGGCUAAAUACUCCUGACUGACCGAUAGUGAACCAGUACCGUGAGGGAAAGGCGAAAAGAACCCCGGCGAGGGGAGUGAAAAAGAACCUGAAACCGUGUACGUACAAGCAGUGGGAGCACGCUUAGGCGUGUGACUGCGUACCUUUUGUAUAAUGGGUCAGCGACUUAUAUUCUGUAGCAAGGUUAACCGAAUAGGGGAGCCGAAGGGAAACCGAGUCUUAACUGGGCGUUAAGUUGCAGGGUAUAGACCCGAAACCCGGUGAUCUAGCCAUGGGCAGGUUGAAGGUUGGGUAACACUAACUGGAGGACCGAACCGACUAAUGUUGAAAAAUUAGCGGAUGACUUGUGGCUGGGGGUGAAAGGCCAAUCAAACCGGGAGAUAGCUGGUUCUCCCCGAAAGCUAUUUAGGUAGCGCCUCGUGAAUUCAUCUCCGGGGGUAGAGCACUGUUUCGGCAAGGGGGUCAUCCCGACUUACCAACCCGAUGCAAACUGCGAAUACCGGAGAAUGUUAUCACGGGAGACACACGGCGGGUGCUAACGUCCGUCGUGAAGAGGGAAACAACCCAGACCGCCAGCUAAGGUCCCAAAGUCAUGGUUAAGUGGGAAACGAUGUGGGAAGGCCCAGACAGCCAGGAUGUUGGCUUAGAAGCAGCCAUCAUUUAAAGAAAGCGUAAUAGCUCACUGGUCGAGUCGGCCUGCGCGGAAGAUGUAACGGGGCUAAACCAUGCACCGAAGCUGCGGCAGCGACGCUGAUGCGUUGUUGGGUAGGGGAGCGUUCUGUAAGCCUGCGAAGGUGUGCUGUGAGGCAUGCUGGAGGUAUCAGAAGUGCGAAUGCUGACAUAAGUAACGAUAAAGCGGGUGAAAAGCCCGCUCGCCGGAAGACCAAGGGUUCCUGUCCAACGUUA
rnacentral:rRNA from 1 species